rnacentral:tRNA from 1 species
CGGCGGGUAGCUCAACCGGCAGAGCGUCCCCCUGAUAAGGGGAAGGUUCCCGGUUCGAGUCCGGGCCCGCCGACUA